CUCUCCCAACGUUCUGAUGUCCAAAAGGCAAAACCCUGGUUUCAUUGACCGUCUUCUCUCCUCUUCUCUUUGGCGUGUGCUCAGAUCUGCAACAUUUCGUUCGACUCUCAUCUCCUACGAUGACUUCGUCUGCUCUCGUCCAUCCGUGGGUUUUUCUUUUCUUAAAUCUUAUUUCCUGAACCGAUUAAACCUUGUUCAAUGCCCCAAACCCCUAAAUUCCAUUAUUUCUGUCAUCUUGUGGUGAUCAGUCCUAGUUAAUUCCUCCAGUUUCCAUCUCACUCGCGGAACUGCCGCCGCCGUAUCCUGCACCACCGUUCCUGUAUAUCCACCCUCGCGGCGUUCACCUCCGUUUUCGUAUUCGCCUCCAUCACGGCUAUGCCCACUCCCACUGUCGUACCCCCGGCCGCCGCCGCUUCCUCUUCCACAAGACUGAGCUUCGUUCACCCUAAUGUCCCGACCAUCAAGGCUCUGACCUUUCUUGCCGUCGAUCGCAUCGAUCCCUCAUGGACUGCUCUGAUUCGAACCUCUUGACCUUCUGGUCUCGCGAUCGUUCGAUUCGAUAAUGUCGCCGAAAGGAGCAAAGGCCUUGCCGAGGGCGUCUUUCUCUCUUCCCAUUAUCCUUCAAGGGCUCGAAGGCCAUGAAUUGGUGAAAACAAUAAAAUGGCAGCAAAAGAUGGUGGCAGUGAGGCAGACCGUGGCCAAACAUUGCGUGGCUUCUCCCAUCUGUUCAAGAUGUCACUGAUCGUAUCAGGUACCAGUACAUUCUCAAGGAUGAAGAAGGGUCUCAAAUUCAAUGCAUCUGUAGCUUCAUUGCUUUAGAUGUGCCAUGCCUCCUCCUCGUGGCCCUAUCUGGUCUCUUUAGCAAAGGAGGCUUGACACUUCCAUUUGUCGACAUUGACAAAAUUUCUGACAUGGUGGGUCUAUCAACUGGCCAUUCUUCUGCACAUAAUAGAUCAACAUGAAUGCAUCUCACCACUUGAUCUAUCAACUCCGUUUAUUCCACCAAUUCUAAUGCUGCUGCUUCACCUUCUUUCCAAAGCUGCCAUGCCUGAGAGGCUUUGGAGGAUGGAAAAAUGGCGCUCAUUUUAAAUACUGAUGAGAAUAUACUUACUGCAGAUAUACAUUGAUUAUUGGCUGAUAUCUAUUUUCAGCAAGAGGACUGUAUAAAUGCUAAGGAGCAACUUGGCAUGUUAAAAUUUUUGAUGAUGAUGAUCCAUCACAUUACAUGUUGGGCGGAAAAAAAUGAAGAGGUAUCUUCGUCAACAAUUAAAGAUGAGCUUCCCAAAGUUCAAGAUGCAAAAAAAAAAAAAUUCUCAAUUUGAGGUACUCUUGAAUCUCAAGGGAUAAGUAUUCAGCUGAAUGCGGAGUUCUUAACGCUACUAAAGGUUCUCUACUUUAUAUGAAAGGUAAUCAUCAUGAUACUCUUUAUGUCUUGCAAGGUUCUAUUGUUACAAAUUCAAUGGUUGUUUCAACAUCCAUGCUUGAUGAUUCUCACAUUACCCAAUUAUGGCACAUGCGAUUGGGCCAUAUAAACAAGAAAGGUAUAAUUAUUUUAAAUAAGAAAGGUCUUUUAUAUGGUCAACGUAUUGGUAAAUUGGAGUUUUACGAACAUUAUAUUUUUAGGAAAUAGAAAAGAGUUAGUUCUCUUUUGCAACUCAUAACACUAAAGGUUUUCUUGACUAUGUACAUUUUGAUCUAUGGGGACCUUCAAAAUAUUCUUCUAUUAAAGGAUGUCUUUAUAUGAUAACUAUGAUUGAUAACUAUUCUCAUAAAAUUUGAGUUUAUUUUCUUAAGCAUAAAAAUGAAGCUUUCUCCAUUGGAAUCAUCCUCUAAUGGAGGAUGUGAUGAUCAAAUAUAUGAUGAUGUUACAAGUACCACUUUUGUUAUCUAUCAAGAGCAAGAAUAUUCUAUUGCUCAAGAUCAUCCAAGAAGGGAUAUUAAAAGGCCUGCUCGAUACACUAAUGAUGAGUUAGUUGCUUAUGUAUUUUCUAUUGCACAAGAGAUCCCUAAAUGUAUUGAGCCUUCUAGUUAUUCUGAAGCUAUUUCUUGUGCUAAUUCAUCUAAGUGGUUAUUAGCUAUGAAUGAAGAAAUUGAGAGUCUCCACAAGAAUGGUACUUGAGACUUAUAUGAACUUCCUAAAGGCAAGCAAGCUUUAAGUUGUAAGUGGAUAUAUAAAAAAAAAAAAAAGAUGGUAUCCUUAGGGUUGAGGAUGCAAGGAGGAAGGCACGAUUAGUUGUUCGAGAAUGUCAUCAAAAGGAAGGUGUUGAUUUUAACAAGAUUUUCUCUCCAAUUGUUCAUCACACCUCCAUUCAUGUACUACUUGCAUUUACUGCUUUGUUUAAUUUGGAGCUAAGAAAACUUGAUGUUCAAACAAUAUUUUUAAAUGGAGAACUCAAUAAAGAAAUCUACAUGAAGCAACCUGAGGGAUUUGUAAUUCCUAAAAAGGAACAUUGCAUUUAUCGCUUGAAGAAAUCUUUAUAUGGUGUAAAACAAGCUCCUAGGAAGUGGUAUAAAAGGUUUGAUGCUUUUAUAAUUGGGCAAGGCAUCAAUAGAAGCAAAUAUGAUAAUUUUGUUUAUUUUAAACAAUUUUUCCAAGAGUCCUUUUUGUAUUUGUUGCUCUAUGUCAAUGAUAUGCUUAUUGCUUCCAAAGAGAAAUCUUUGAUUAACAAAUUAAAACAACUUAGUAAGGAGUUUGAUAUGAAAGACAUUGGUGUAACAAAGAAAAUUCUUAGCAUGGAAAUUCAUAGAGAUCAUCAAACUGGUAAAUUAUUCGUAUCUCAAAAUAAAUAUAUUUUAAAGAUACUUGAUCAAUUUAAUGUGAGUGAGUGUGAACUUGUGUCUACUCCUCUUAUUGCUCAUUUUCAAUUAUCUGAUGAUCUUUGCCCAGAAUCAGAAAAGGAUAUUAAAAAAAUGUCAAGAGUUCCUUAUUUAAGUGCUGUUAGUAGUCUUAUGUAUGCAAUGCUAUAUACUAGACCUGAUCUUGCAUAUGCAGUAAAUGUGGUAAAUUGGUACAUGCACAGUCUUAGAGAGGGUCAUUAGGAUGCUUUUAAGUAGAUCCUCCAUUAUUUGAAAGGUACUUCCAAUUUUGGUUUGGUAUUUGAAAGGAAUAAGGUUGUAUCUAAUAAUGUUGUUGGUUUUACUGACUUUGAUCAUGGUUGUAGUUUUGAUUGAUGAAAGUCUUUUUUUGCUUAUAUUUUCACCCUUUGUGGCUGUUCUAUUAGCUAUGAGCAUCUCUCCAAUCUAUUUAUGCAUUAUCCUUAAUUGAAGCAGAGUAUAUAGCAGCAACUGAGAGUAUAAAGGAAGCUAUUUGAUUGCAAGGGAUGGUCGUAGGAAUGAUAUGUGGGGUGCAAGAGAUGCAGGCUUAGCUUUGGGGAAGCGAUCUUCACUCGUUUAAGGUGACUUUUGAUAUCAAGUGAAAAUAAAGUGAAUUUGACAGUAGCUAGCAGAGAAGGAGUAUAAAACAUGUCUAGAGUAAAAUUGCUUUAAAUUUGCAAUAUGCCAGAUCUAAUGAUCAAAUGGGAAUAAGAACAUUAUAGAAGUUGAACAUCAAUUAUGUGCCAAGAUUUUUUUUCCCCUUAUGAUCUUCAUCUGUGUGUGUAUGCCAUUACUGCUAUUAACAAAUAGAAAAUGUCUUGUUCAUAAAUCACAGCUCAUCUAAUGUGCUCAAAAUGUUGUUUUCCAAAUGUCUCUCAACCAACAUAGCACAUCAAAUUAAAUAAACAAUCAAAUGUUUCUCAAAUGUUUGGUUUUUGUUUUUAUUCUUUUCUUUGUUGUUUUCCUUUUCUAAAUCGCCUUGUGAUUGUUAUGCUUUCCUUGAUUUAUUUCUUAAGGAGCAUACUUUCUGAAAGAUUAGCCCUUCAAGAAGUUUAUUAUUUUCCAUGCAUGCAUCUUGUAGAGAUUAAAUGUUUGAUCAACGGGAGAUAAUAUUCAUGAUAUAAUCAUAAACUACUAUCAAUUAUAAAGUAGCCAAAUUUGACAAAAUUAAAGAAUGUUUAUGAAAGGUGAGAAGCAACCAUUGUAGUAGAACUAGGAUAAGGUUUUAAUGGAAACAGAGAGCGAACUAGUUGAACUUGAAAGUGAUUGCCUAUUUGCCUUGCACUGGACAUCAACAUAGCUAAAUCAAUAAAGAGUGGGCCCAAUCUGCAGCAAGAGUGAAUUGACAAUGACGAAAGUUGCAUCCUUGAAGAGAAGCCUCUGCUUUCAGAUAUUGUGGCGCCAAAAAUACUCAUAGGAAAAUAUUAGAGCAGUGAAACAAGUCCUCUCGACGAUGACCCUUUCAUAAGGAGGGCUUCAGAAAUUUUUUUUUUUUUACAUGAUUUCUUCAGUAACUUAGAAAAGGAACCUUUUAGAGUACCAUUUCCUUUCAAUAACUUAGAAAAGGUUGAAGGAAGAGUUAGCCAUAAAGGGAUAAGAUUAUAAUAAUCUCAAUAGCAAAACUCGCAUUUACUUAUUAUGUAUAUGGCCAACUCAAAUAUACAAAUAUGCCUCAUAAACACACAUUAAUCUUGAUAAAAUAAGCAUGAAGAAGGAAACAUGCAUCAUGCUAAAAUUUUGAGUUUAAAUCUGCUAAGGCUAGAUUAUAUUCCAAUGACUACAUAUAUCGAAAAAACUAACUCUUUCAAAAACAACCAAGACAUGCACAUACUCACAUCAACUUACUCAUACAACCAAGUACAUAUAAGAGAAAACUGCAGGAUUGCUACCUUGGUUUUAUUACUAGUUUCGGACAGCUUGUACAUGCACUCUCUCUCUUAUUUUUGAGUCCUCACUACUACAGAGAAGGAAAUUAACAUCACCUUUUAAUGUCAGUUAUUACAAAAAUUGAUGUUAAAAAAAGGCAGUGGCAUAUUUGUAAAUAUAUGGAUAACAUUUAACGUCGAUUAUUCAAAAAACCAUAGUGGAAAGAUAUUUCACAUCGAGUAUUAAAUAAACUGAUGUGGAAAACAAUGUAAAAAAUAAAUCAGAUAAAUUUUUUGUAUUUCAUGUCGAUUGUUAUUAAUAACCAACGUUAAAUAAUACUUAAAACAAUAAAAAAAUUAAUAUCUUUUAACAUUGAUUUUACAUUAAAACCAACGUUAAAAGACUUUAUAAUAAAAAAAAUUUAGUAAUUCACAUCGAUUCCAUAAGGAACUGACAUGAAUAAGGGAAACCACAUCGGUUUCCAAGACAACUGAUGUGGUUUCCCUUGUUAAAAGCUGUGUUCUACGUAUUUUUCUUCCCAUUUCAAUUUCACGUUUGGUCCAGUACUAAAAGGUCACACCUUUUCCCUCUAAUGCCUCCAUCUAGAACCUCUGGCCACUGUGGGUCUACCAUCUACAGCUGUGGGUCUGCCUUUUCCCUUCAUUGUAGCUUUCUCCCUCUUCGUUGUUCCUUCUUCCUUCUUCUUCCUCCAUUUUUACAAGUUAGAGAUCUCUCCCUUUUUUUUCCUCCUUCCCUCUUCCGUCUUCUUCCAUUGUUGUUAAAUGCUCAUCUAUUUCAAUAAUUUUUGGUCUUUUAUUGCUUUAAAGUUCCAAAUUUCUUCUUCAGCCUUCCUUUUCCAUUGUUGAAGAUUUGAGUUUCAUUUUCUUCUUUGCAUG